GUGAACUGUGGCAUCAGGGUUGCUUGCGUGUGGUCUGCCCUUCUAUAAUCACCCAUAAACAUGUUAUUAUACCACACAACAGCAUCAGCACUGUUGGCUUUGGCUCUGGUUCUGGAACUGAAGAAAAAUAACACUGGGUAUUUAACAUUAGAGUACUGGAGUAUUAAAGUACUGAUCUGAUCAGCUAUGCAUCACGGUGAUCGCAAGUGGUUUUUUUUUUUGCCUUCUCAGGCUUUCUCAAUGCACUGCUGACAGACACAGAAAAUGGGCCUUUUUGACUGUGCAUACCCUGUAUAUGAUUCCUCUUUGCAGGCUCAACAGCAUCCUCAAAUGUUUCUUCUCCAAGCCCUGAGAGAGCAGUGAUAACCAUGCCAACAGGUGUGGCCGAGGUCCUAACGUCAGCUCCUCCACUCCACAGCUCAACAGCAUCCUCAAAUGUUUCUUCUCCAAGCCCUGAGAGAGCAGUGAUAACCAUGCCAACAGGUGUGGCCGAUGUCCGAACGUCAGCUCCUCCACUCCACAGUAAGCCAGUCAAGCUGAAAACACUUUAACUUUCAUCCAUUACAAGGGAGAUGAUGAGGUCAAACUGUUGACACUUUGUUC
ensembl:lncRNA